rnacentral:rRNA from 1 species
GAAGCUGGAUUCCGUAGUAAUCGCGGAUCAACAUUCCGCGGUGAAUAUGCCCCUGCUCCUUGCACACACCGCCCGUCAAGCCACCCGAGUUGGGUUUCAGUAAGGACACCUCUUUUUGGGGUGCUCGAACUGAGAUUCGGCAAGGAGGGCUAAGUCGUAACAAGGUAUCUGUAGGGGAACCUGCAGAUGGAUCACCUCCU